rnacentral:rRNA from 1 species
UACGUAGGGGGCGAGCGUUAUCCGGAUUUACUGGGCGUAAAGCGCGUUAAGGCGGUUGGCAAAGUUGGUUGUGAAAUCUCAGGGCUCAACCCUGAAAUUGCGACCAAUACUGGUCGACUAGAGUGUGAGAGAGGAAGGUGGAAUUCCCGGUGUAGUGGUGAAAUGCGUAGAGAUCCGGAGGAACACCGACGGCGUAGGCAGCGCCCUGGCUGUGAAUAAAGCUGACACUGAGGCACGAAAGCUGGGGGAGCAAACAGG